rnacentral:rRNA from 1 species
UGAGGAAUAUUGGUCAAUGGACGCAAGUCUGAACCAGCCAAGUAGCGUGCAGGAUGACGGCCCUAUGGGUUGUAAACUGCUUUUAUAUGGUGAUAAAGUGGGGAACGUGUUCCCUUUUGCAGGUACCAUAUGAAUAAGGACCGGCUAAUUCCGUGCCAGCAGCCGCGGUAAUACGGAAGGUUCGGGCGUUAUCCGGAUUUAUUGGGUUUAAAGGGAGCGUAGGCCGUUUGGUAAGCGUGUUGUGAAAUGUAGGAGCUCAACUUCUAGAUUGCAGCGCGAACUGUCAGACUUGAGUGCGCACAACGUAGGCGGAAUUCAUGGUGUAGCGGUGAAAUGCUUAGAUAUCAUGAAGAACACCGAUUGCGAAGGCAGCUUACGGGAGCGCAACUGACGCUGAAGCUCGAAGGUGCGGGUAUCGAACAGG